rnacentral:rRNA from 1 species
UGCCAGCCGCCGCGGUAAUACGGAAGGUGCGAGCGUUAAUCGGAAUUACUGGGCGUAAAGCGCACGUAGGUGGCUUGGUAAGUCGGAUGUGAAAGCCCUGGGCUCAACCUGGGAACUGCAGUCGAAACUACAAGUCUUGAAUACCUGAGAGGUUAGUGGAAUUCCUAGUGUAGGAGUGAAAUCCGUAGAUAUUAGGAGGAACACCAGAGGCGAAGGCGACUAACUGGCAGAGUAUUGACGCUGAGGUGCGAAAGCGUGGGGAGCAAACAGGAUUAGAUA